rnacentral:sRNA from 1 species
AGUCCAGCGUCUCCUGGGCUUAGAUUCCCCAGCUGCUGUCUCUGGAGGGGCCCCCGACAGCUGCUCGCGGGAGCCGCCUCCCGACACCCGAGCCCCGCCGGCGCCUCGCGCUCCCGGCUCCCGGCUCCCUCCGCCUACCCCGCCCCUCGCCCCGCCGCCGAAGAGGCCCCGCUCCCGGGUCGGACGCCUGGGUCUGCCGGGAAGAGCGAUGAGAGGUAGGGAGAGCGGCGGCGGACCCCGCGGGCGGAGGCCUGGGGCUCCUGGGGUGGGGGCGCGCGGCGGCUCCUGCAGGGCGAGGGGCGGGGGAGGCAGGACGUCCCGGGCCAUGCUUC